UAGAGUUAAAGUUUUUGGGUCCUAGGCUUGCCGUUGUUUUUUACCAAAAUUAUACAUGCAAGCCUCCACAUACCAGUGAGAAUGCCCAUACACCCUUAAACAGAGAACCGGAGCAGAUAUCAGGAUUCAACCCCUUAGCCAAAGACGUCUUGCUUACGCCACACCCACACGGGUUUUCAGCAGUAAUUAACAUUAAAAAUGAGCGAAAGCUCGAUCUAGUUAUGGUAAAUACGGUCGGUAAAUUUCGUGCCAGCCACCGCGGUUAUACGAAAGAUUAAAAACAACGACCCUCGGCGUAAAGCGUGACUAAGAGUAAUACAACUUAGGGGGGUACAAGUGCUAAGUUGUAAAAUACUAUUGCACCUAGAACAACAACUCUGCCUCUAAACUCUCCAACCUCACGAAAGCUAAGAAACAAACUGGGAUUAGAUACCCCACUAUGCUUAGCCCUAAACAGAGAUCUUAUUAAUACAAUAUUUUCCGCCAGAGAACUACAAGCGAAAAGCUAGAAACUCCAAGGACUUGGCGGUGCUUCAAAUCAACCUAGAGGAGCCUGUCCUAUAAUCGAUACCCCCCGUUCAACCUUACCACCUUUAGCCAGUCAGCCUAUAUACCGCCGUCGUCAGCCUACCUUAUGAAAGAAAUAAAGUAAGCAAAACAGUUAACAACUAGUAAGUCAGGUCAAGGUGUAGCACAUGAGGUGGCAGAGAUGGGCUACAUUUUCCUAACGAACAUACGUACAACAUGUUGAAAAACCUGUUUAAAGGUGGAUUUAGCAGUAAAAUAAACAAGAAAAAUUAUCUUAAACCCGCUCUGAAGCGCGCACACACCGCCCGUCACCCUCAUCACACGAACCUAUUAUAAAACAUAUAAUGAACCCUAUUUAGAUGAGGCAAGUCGUAACACGUAGCGGUUU
rnacentral:ncRNA from 1 species